AAGUGGGAACAUCUUAUUUGCUACACUCAUAUAUUGAAACCACUUCACUCUCCACUACUUGCACUCCUAUAGUCCUUACACUGUUGAAGAUUCAGGACCUUUAAUUCCUAAAUACCAAGGAUAGUCUACAUGCUUCAAAAGAAAACCAAGUUAUAAUAAGAAACAAAUAAAAUUAAUCAGCCUGGAAUCCAAAUAACUCCAUUCAAUGGCCUUGACAGUUGAAAGUAACAGUAACACCAUUAAUCUUCUUCAUCAGGGGACACUUCCAUUUAGGAUAUUCAUCGGAGGCUUGACAUAGAACACCACAUUGGUUCGUGGAGAAUUGCCGCUUCAGAAGUGUAGAGCCUCUUUGGAUUCAGUGGAGUGCUCUGACAAGAGCUGGCUUCAAGCUUGGCAGAUAGUGUUACUCAAAUGUCUCAAGAUGUUGAUAAGGUGAGCAAUCCUAACAGCAUCAGAAUAGAAGCAGAAAAGAGAUGAUGUUGUUUGCAUAUCUGCUCUGAGUGGCCAGGGCUUAAAUGAUUUCUGCAGUGCAAUCCAGGCAAAAUUGAAAGUACUUCUAA